rnacentral:rRNA from 1 species
GUGAGGAAUAUUGGUCAAUGGACGGAAGUCUGAACCAGCCAUGCCGCGUGCAGGAAUAAGGUCCUAUGGAUUGUAAACUGCUUUUAUUCGGGAAUAAACCUCUUUACGUGUAGGGAGCUGAAGGUACCGAAGGAAUAAGCACCGGCUAACUCCGUGCCAGCAGCCGCGGUAAUACGGAGGGUGCAAGCGUUAUCCGGAAUCAUUGGGUUUAAAGGGUCCGCAGGCGGGCUAACAAGUCAGAGGUGAAAUCCCACAGCUUAACUGUGGAACUGCCUUUGAAACUGAUGGUCUUGAAUUAAGUGGGCGUUGGCGGAAUAUGACAUGUAGCGGUGAAAUGCAUAGAUAUGUCAUGGAACACCGAAAGCGAAGGCAGCUAACGAUACUUAUAUUGACGCUCAUGGACGAAAGCGUGGGUAGCGAACAGGAUUAGAAACCCGAGUAGUCC